UUCCUCCAUCUUUAUGCAACUUUACUGUUUGACUUUCCAUAAUGGGAGAACAAUUGAAAGACAUUGCUGUAGUUCUCAUGUCUCUUGCUGCUAGAAUUGCAAUCUGUAUUCCAAGAUCUGAAGCUUCAUGAAAAAUGUCUGCUGGAUUUCACAGAGUUUCCUUACUAGAUGCAGUGUUUGUGGGUGUUUGAUGCUGUGCCUCCAUUGGUGUUUUCCAUGCCAAUGGAACUGAUGUGGCUGUCAUCCAGGUUCCAUUUGAAGACCCCAUUGUUCCAAGAAAUCCUUCAAAAGGCAUCUGCACAGAGGGCAUCAGUUUCCAGCGGGGGAUCCAACCGUUCAACUACAUGUGGGAGGUUGGCGUCGUUCCUGACCUGGCUAUGCAUCGUAGGUACAUUAUGCUCUACGAAAACCAGUGACCAUGGACGUUUCUCUCCACCACCGGAUACAUCUGAGGAUAUAACAUUGAGGCAGUUUGGUACAUUUGAAAUCCUAUCGAGGGAUGCCAAGACGCUGGAAGUUCAGCAUGUCUCCACCAAACGCUGCCUCAUCACAACUACUGAGCUGAUCUGCGAGACUAGUGUUCCACAGAAGGGGUGAAGACUGACAACAAACAGGACUCUGGCCAUCAUUGGUGCAGAACCUCCCUCCUGAACUCCACCUGCAGGCCCCAAGAGACAGAUGGAUCUCCUGUGUGACUGGGAUCGUGUUCUACAAGCAAUACUCACCCGAAGACAGGCCUGUCAUCACCAGACAUCUUAUAGUUUGGCUUUGCCAGUGGCGAGACUCCCGUUGUGAUGCCUCUGACGAUGACACUGACUAAAGUAUCCUGUUACAACAAUCUGCUAAAUGAAUUUGGGUCCCCUGGCCACACCCAGCAAUUUAAACUAGCAUUGAAUCAAUACUUUCAUGUUAUUACUCUAUUUAAAAUGAAUAAAUUGUUGGCUCUUGAA